CCCCCCCCCCACCGCCGGUCUCCCCUCCUGCCCUCCUCCUCCCUGCUCCCUCACCACCGCCAGGGGGUGCGGCUGGUCUAAGCCCGACCGGCGCCGGCGCCGGCGGGGCCUUCUCUUCCUCCUCCGCGUGAUGGGGGCGGUGCGGGUUCCUCCAUCAAGGGCGGGCGCGGGGCACCGUGGCGUGGCAGCGCGCAGCCCUCUGGCGGUACGUGGCGCUGCAUGGCAGACGGCGUGGGCGGCGACUGGGGUCCGGCUUUGGGUUGCUGGCAGCUGCGGUGGUUCCUCUCCGUCAUGGGCGUGCGGCGGUGGUGUGGCUCGGCCGGUGGCGGUCCGGCGACCUGGUGGUGGUGGCCGACGGUGCGCAUGGUGGUGGUGCUUCCACUUGGCGGCUCUCUGUGCGGGGAGGCAGGGCAACGGCUUCGACAGGGGCGGCGGAGCCGACCGCGUGCCGGCUGCAGCGCGAAGGCGGGAACUUUACGGGUCUCGGAGAUCUCGGACGGGCCUGUGCGGCCACGGGCCUGGUGUGGCCCUCCCGCGUGCCGAUGGUGCUGCUGCCCUAGUCCCGGCUCCUCUUCUUCAUUGUGCAGACCAUGCUUCACGGUGCCAUGGUGAGACAGUGUGGGAAGCUUCGUGGCCGGGUUGGCGCAGGGUGAAGGUCUGUUUGGUGGCGAGCUCUGGAGUGCCUAAGUUGGAGGUUGGUAUCGGGAGAAAUCCCUGUUGGCUUGCCCGACAUCGACGCGGUGGCGCUUGUUGGUGCCGCCACACCUUCCUGGAGGGCGUCGGGGCUACCCUUCCUCUCUCCUCACCGCGUAGCGAGGGAAACCCUUGGCAGCAGCGUUGUCAUCGCCGCGUCCCUUCUUGGAGGUGUUGAUUGGUACCGGUGCUUCGGAGCCUCGGAGCUUGGUGGGCGAUCUCCGGUGGGUGCAGCGGUCUCGAGGCUUCUUCGUUUCUUUGUCGAUCUGCCGUUGUCGGCAUUUGUUUCUCUUGUAUUUUCUCUUUCUUUCUUUUGGGCGUGACUGUGCUGUUUCCGCCCCAGCACCUAUCGUUGGAUGUCUCGGUUGGUUGCUUUGUAUACAAAGUUGGGGGAAACCCUUUUUCGGCAAAGUGGCAAUCCUCUGUUCCCUAUGGUGCCUUUUUGUGGUUUGCACUAUAUUGACUUGUGCACUUGUUGUAAUCGCCAGGUUUUCCGUUAUCUGUUGUGGCUCUGUGCUUCCCUACGAGGGAAGCCAAACCCGAAGAAAGUCAUGAUCCAAGUGGAGCGGCAAAUGCUAUGUCCAGACAAGAAAUCCCCUACGCACAAAGCCAUGGCAUUCCGGUCUCUUGACGACUCGGUCGCCCACUGCCAGGCUCUUCCUGCACGCGGAACCAGCACGGCAUGUACCCACGUCACCGACAUAAUUUGAGGCAGCUGCUGGGAAUUCGGCCAGUCCACCUUCAAGCAACAUAAGUCCCUAUGUAGGAACUAGGAACAGCUACAGGAACAUAUACUCUGAAGCUUAAAGCGGCGCUCCGUUCUGCGUCCUGGACUCUGGGACCCUGUUGUUACCUCACGAACGAACUGAAUCUUUGUACCUCCAAUUUUACGACGGUGCAGCAUCCUCAAUGUCCACUACAUUCUAUGCCCCGCCUCUGCUCCUAUGCCUACUCCAUCUUCUACGCCGACAACCUUGCCAUCCACCUGGGUGACCUGGCCAGCAUCCCCGUUGUAAUUUGGUGCCGACACCGGCCGAGAGCCUGCAGGCAGCAGCUCACCAUCCAUGCCAUAAUGUUCUGCGUCAGCAGCAUACUAGGUUGAUUUAUCUCCAAAAGAGCAUGCAACUACUUACCUAAACUGUUAACUGAAUGACUUGUUGACAUACAUGAACACGGAUCCAUUUCCUUGUUAAAGUAGGCACGAUGGUUCGUGCGUGUAGAUGAUAAAUAUAUCGUUGUAUGUAAACACCAAGCCACAACAAAAGGUUUAGAUCGUCUCGAUGACAACUAUACAUCAA